rnacentral:lncRNA from 1 species
GGAGGGCGCAGGGGCUCCCGACAGCGACCUCACCCGAGCCGCUGGGACUCCGGGACCUCCGGCCCUCGGAAGCUAGAGUCCCACGUUUGCGGUCUUGCGGUUUGGAGGCAAAACCAGUGUACAUACUUUUGGUGAUAUAAUUACACCUCUUCAUUUUACUAAAGUCAAGAGUGACAUUCCUGAAGGGACCUGAUGAGACACUGUGACAGCUGUGGAUAAUAUAGCAGAAUGGUACCACUAUGACCUAAUUCAUUUCCUUAAUUUCAUUAACUGCAAUCAUGUGCUAUUAAGCACAUGUAUCUAACAACACAAGCAUAGAAUAAAUUGGAAGAAAAUGACUCAUAAUCUAAUUACUCUAACAGAAAUU